UGAGUAACCUGCCCUUAACUCUGGGAUAAGCCUGGGAAACUGGGUCUAAUACCGGAUAUGACUCCUCAUCGCAUGGUGGGGGGUGGAAAGCUUUAUUGUGGUUUGGAUGGACUCGCGGCCUAUCAGCUUGUUGGUGAGGUAAUGGCUCACCAAGGCGACGACGGGUAGCCGGCCUGAGAGGGUGACCGGCCACACGUGGGACUGAGAUACGGCCCAGACCUCCUACGGGGAGGCAG
rnacentral:rRNA from 1 species